GACGAACGCUGGCGGCGUGCUUAACACAUGCAAGUCGAACGCUGAAGCUCAGCUUUUGUUGGGUGGAUGAGUGGCGAACGGGUGAGUAACACGUGAGUAACCUGCCCCCUUCUUUGGGAUAACGCCCGGAAACGGGUGCUAAUACUGGAUAUUCACUGGUCUUCGCAUGGGGGUUGGUGGAAAGGGUUUUUCUGGUGGGGGAUGGGCUCGCGGCCUAUCAGCUUGUUGGUGGGGUGAUGGCCUACCAAGGCUUUGACGGGUAGCCGGCCUGAGAGGGUGACCGGUCACAUUGGGACUGAGAUACGGCCCAGACUCCUACGGGAGGCAGCAGUGGGGAAUAUUGCACAAUGGGCGCAAGCCUGAUGCAGCGACGCCGAGUGAGGGAUGGAGGCCUUCGGGUUGUGAACCUCUUUCGCUCAUGGUCAAGCCGCAACAAUGGUUGUGGUGAGGGUAGUGGGUAAAGAAGCGCCGGCUAACUACGUG
rnacentral:rRNA from 1 species